AGAGUUUGAUUCUGGCUCAGGACGAACGCUGGCGGCGUGCUUAACACAUGCAAGUCGAACGAGAAUCUGUGGAAAGAGGAUUCGUCCAAUUGAAACAGAGGACAGUGGCGGACGGGUGAGUAACGCGUGAGGAACCUGCCUUUCAGAGGGGGACAACAGUUGGAAACGACUGCUAAUACCGCAUGACACAUAUUGGGGGCAUCCCUGAUAUGUCAAAGAUUUAUCGCUGAAAGAUGGCCUCGCGUCUGAUUAGCUAGUUGGUGAGGUAACGGCCCACCAAGGCGACGAUCAGUAGCCGGACUGAGAGGUUGAACGGCCACAUUGGGACUGAGAUACGGCCCAG
rnacentral:rRNA from 1 species